UGGACACGGCAACAGAAAACCGCAAAUUACGCGUGCUACGUCGUAUUAUAUUUUAAUAGUUAUAUAAAGACAAAAAGUGUUCUGCGUAACGACUUUCAGGUGGGGUCGAGAUUUGGGCCCCCUCUACAUACGCCACUGCAUAUGAUGAUCACAAAGCAUAGCCUUUAGAUGAUGAUGACAGUUAGCUACUUUGAUAUGCAUUCGUAUCACUUCAAGACAAAAUUAAAAAUUAUAAUGUUGUUAGUCAAUAAAAUACUUCAAUGUGAUUCCAAUUUUGAACAAUAUUUACAAAUAUAACAUCAUGCAAAUUCAAAAAUUUCAUACAUCAGUCAUACAUGUAAUACUUUUUGGCACCGAAGAUUACUUGGUAGUAUGUUUGAAGAUGUUAUACGGCAUACCAUUUCUUAAACUGUGUUCGUGGAAAACUGGGGUUCUGCGAAGAUCACUUCAGGGUCCCGCGAAGCUUAAGUAAUUAUUUUAAACAUUUUUAAGCAAAUUACUUUA